GUUAAUAUUUUAAUAAAAAAAUAAUAUACUUUUAAUAAAGAUUUAUACUUUUCAAUGAAAAAAAUCAAUUUUUUUAUGAAUGCUUAAAUUAUAUUAAGAAAAGAAAAAAAUAAUAAUCAAGAAUAGUUGAAAAAAAAUUAUUUGAACUUGGACUGAAUGACCCAAAGGAAAAAAAAUGUGAGAAUUGGAUCUGAUUUCUUAAUCGGCCCAAAUGGCCCAAGAGAUAUCUGAUAUGGGCUGGAUCCGAGAAAAAUGAUCCAUUAUAGAUGUGUUAUUAAUAUUACUUGAUUGCCCUUAAUAAAACAUGCAAUGUUAGUAAAGAAAAUGGCAGACUAAGGUAAAAAGUACAAUAGAAUCAUGCUUUAAUAAUAUAGACUAGGUGGACCGUCCGCACGCAUGUGCAGACAUUAACAUUAAUAUUAAAUUGAUAAUUACUUAUUUACAGCUAUAUAAUACUUAUGUUACAUGUAUAUGGUUAAUAUGAAAGAUUCGAUGUUACGUAUUGAUAUUUAUACUAUGUUCAUAUAAACAAAUACAUUAGAACAUUUAGAAACGAUCACAUUUAACACUAAUCUUAAAACAUCGGAAAAAUAUAAUUGAGAAAAAUAAAUAUUUCAUGCAUAUCCCCAAUAAAAAAAAUCAGCCAUGAAAUAUAAAAGAAAUAUUUGAAUUACCUGAGAUUUAUUAUCAUUGGUUUCAUUAUAACAACAUAAAUGAUUUACGGUUUUCUUCUCUAAGUCUUGAAUCAGAAAAGAGGUAAUUCUAACAAAAAUAUUUAAAAAUGUAAACAAUCCCCAAAAGAUAACAAAUCUAUACUAUUAAAAGAGAAGGAGUUUAAAUAAAUCUACCUAUGAAAGUCAUUUUGGACCUUUUCCUUUUUUCAUUUUUUGGUCUAACCAUAUCUAAAAUAACAGCAUCUACGACCUUUGUAACCCAAAUAAUUCGAAAAGAAUAUUCUAAGUUGACAUCUACUUUAAAUUUCAUUUUAAUAAAAUAGACUAUUAUCUAACCAGAAAUCGCCAUCUCAUAUCCUAUAUAACCCACCUCUCACCAAACUCAAGAGCAUCACAUAUAUCACCAAUAUCAAAAACAUAAAACCCGAGGCUCAGAGCCAAGGAAACCAAAAAAUGCUAAAGUGGUUCAUAUCCUGUUUUUUUAAGUCAUUGCAAUCCUCAUCUUCCCCUCAUGAUAAGCUCUCCACAAAACAAAAAGAUUUGUCCACAACCUCAGAAAACAACAAGUUUAUGGUUUGGAUGGAAAAUAACAAGGAUAUUAUUAAAGUAGAAGAUAAUGAUAAUCCAGAUUGCUGUGCCAAAUGUAAUUUUGUUUGGAAUCCAAUAUCUCUUACCUGGGAAGCAAACAUCGAGAUUUGAAGAAUAUUCUAAAUGUACUUUUCAUUUGUUUUCUUAUGAAGAUUAUAUUAUUAGUACGUGAGAGGAAAAUGCAUUUGUACUUUUCAUUUGUUUUCUUAUGAAGAUUUACAAUUUGAUUUUGUCAAACAAUAAAAUAUCACGAAACACAAAGGGGGAUUUUAUUUUGUCAUAAAUUUAUAUUAAUAAUAAAGGGGCAUUUAAAUUGCAGUUUGAAGCACGAAACACAACUCAAUAAAUGUGAAAUCUGAAUAACAAACGAAUAUGCUAAGUGGAAGCAAAACAACUACAAUACUUCCUCUACAAGUUUAUCAUAAGUUUAGGAAGCAAAAUAACUAUAGAAAUGACUUGCUUUUAUCUCUUGCUUAUAUUUGAGUAGACAAUUUAUCAUAAGUUUAGAAAGCAAAAUAUAAUGAAACAGAAUUAACAACUAAAUAAAUGUGAACUCUGAAAAACUAACGAAUAUGCUAAGUGAAAGCAAAAUAUCUUCAUUACUUCCUCUACAAGUUUAUUUAUUAUUGUCAACAACAAAAAAUUUUAAAAGCUUAGAUUUUAUUCCUAUAAAUA